rnacentral:ncRNA from 2 species
GUUUGCAUGUAGGGGGACCGGUGUUGCCGGUUGAGAUUGUAUCCGUAAGAUACUGACCCUUAGAACCUGAACUGGUUAGAACCAGCGUAGGGAACAUAUGAGAUGAUGAA